rnacentral:rRNA from 1 species
AACGAACGCUGGCGGCAGGCUCAACACAUGCAAGUCGAGCGCCCCGCAAGGGGAGCGGCAGACGGGUGAGUAACGCGUGGGAAUCUACCCAUCUCUACGGAAUAACGCAUGGAAACGUGUGCUAAUACCGUAUACGUCCUUCGGGAGAAAGAUUUAUCGGAGAUGGAUGAGCCCGCGUUGGAUUAGCUAGUUGGUGGGGUAAAGGCCUACCAAGGCGACGAUCCAUAGCUGGUCUGAGAGGAUGAUCUGCCACACUGGGACUGAGACACGGCCCAGACUCCUACGGGAGGCAGCAGUGGGGAAUAUUGGACAAUGGGCGCAAGCCUGAUCCAGCCAUGCCGCGUGAGUGAUGAAGGCCCUAGGGUUGUAAAGCUCUUUCACCGGUGAAGAUAAUGACGGUAACCGGAGAAGAAGCCCCGGCUAACUUCGUGCCAGCCGCCGCAGUAAUAC